rnacentral:misc_RNA from 1 species
AACGCACAUUGCGCCCCCUGGCAUUCCUAGGGGCAUGCCUGUUCGAGCGUCAUUAACAACCAUCAAGCGGGACUUGUCGGCCCCGCUUGGUCAUGGGGGAUGGCCGCCCUCCGGGCGUCCACCCCCGAAAUGCAACGGCGGAUAGCCACCAGGGGCACCGGGGCGUAGUAAGUCAUUCUUUCGCCCGUCACCCACGGAUGGACCUGUCCGGCCGCUUGAACCCCCAACAUCCAAUGGUUGACCUCGGAUCAGGUAGGGAUACCCGCUGAACUUAA